rnacentral:rRNA from 1 species
UACGUAGGGUGCAAGCGUUAAUCGGAAUUACUGGGCGUAAAGCGUGCGCAGGCGGUUGGGCAAGACAGAUGUGAAAUCCCCGGGCUCAACCUGGGAAUUGCAUUUGUGACUGCACGGCUAGAGUGUGUCAGAGGGGGGUAGAAUUCCACGUGUAGCAGUGAAAUGCGUAGAGAUGUGGAGGAACACCGAUGGCGAAGGCAGCCCCCUGGGCUAACACUGACGCUCAGGCACGAAAGCGUGGGGAGCAAACAGG